rnacentral:rRNA from 1 species
UACGGGGGGAGCAAGCGUUGUUCGGAUUUACUGGGCGUAAAGGGCGCGUAGGCGGCCACCGCAAGUCGACUGUGAAAUCUCCGGGCUUAACUCGGAAAGGUCAGCCGAUACUGCGGGGCUAGAGUGCAGAAGGGGCAACUGGAAUUCUCGGUGUAGCGGUGGAAUGCGUAGAUAUCGAGAGGAACACCGGUGGCGAAGGCGGCCUGCUGGGCAGUUGCUGACACUGAGGCGCGACAGCGUGGGGAGCAAACAGG